GAGAUCUACUUUUUAGAGAAUCUGCACCUAAUGAAUAUCAACCAGGAGGCCUCCUUGAAUACAUUAGGUUGAAAUUUAACCUAGACUCUAUUACAGAACGAUUUUUCAUUAUUUUUUUUUCGCAUUUUGCAUUUUGAUUUUUUUUCUGUAUUGGAUCUACUACUAAACACUCAGGAUUGGGACGGUUCAUUAAACUCUUUAAGUAUACUUCAGGAACUCUGUUUCACAGAUUACUGACAUCUGUGUUUCCUCUAUUUAUCCAAGUUAUCUGCUUUUUGCAUAGGAAUUGUUGGCAGGCAGUAUUGUAUAUGUGUAUUUCUUUGCACUUUAGGUUAUUUGUAUAUAGUUAUAGCAUUAAUGGUGAUUUGGCACUUAGCAC